GACUCCGGUGGCCUAGUGGUUAGAACGUCCGCCUCGGAAACGGGAGGUAGCGGUUUCGAUCCCCGACCAAAUCA